GCCUUCCCAAUACUACGCUUCUUCCGGUAAGCACGGGGAGUUGGCUCAGGUCUAUCGCCUGACUCCGCCAAUCUCGCUGUGUUCCCCCAAAAAAGUUUUGGGGUCUGCCUCUCGUGCCUGUUGCGCUGCCUUACCUCAUAUCGCCACCGCUCAGCUUUCACUGCCUCCAGUUCUUCCUUGGGGCGGCGAUAUUCCCCAGCCUGUGCCCAGGGUCCCUUACCGUCUAGUAUCUCCUCCCAAGUCCAGGAGUCCAGAACCCUCUGCUCCUUGUUACCACGCUGCUUGGUCCUUUUUUUGGUGGGUAGUUCUGUAACGAUCUUCUUCAUCUGAUGAGGAGUAUGAAAGAUCGGACCAAAACGCAGCGUGACUGCAGUGCCCCUUCAUGUCAACCUGGAGAUGCUGCAAUCUCAACCAGAAGCCCGCCUGUGGGUCUCAAAUCCUCUGCACCCAUUUUUUUCUAAACUUUCUGAGCGGAAAUCGUAACAUUGGUUAUUCCAAAACUUUGAAUGUGAUAAUUCGUAUUAGGCUUCAGAUUUGGUCAUCCGAUAUGACUUGUAAAGACCAUUUUUAUAAUUGAGAUAACAUUACAGAAAUGCAAAAGCCCAGAAUAAGACUGAGCAGGAAAGCCAUGGUAUGAAGGAAUCUCCUGAAAUCAACUCCCCUUCAGGGCCAGGUUUUUUAAAAGGUUUAAACUGGAUAAGAAUGAUCCGGAUUCUGUAAUCCCCUGUUUUGCAAUAGAUUACGUUAAAUUGACUGCUGUUUAGGUACAAUAUGUAGUCAAUUGUUAUAUUGAGAAGUGUCAAAUAUAUCUACUUUCUUACAAGUGAUUACAUACAUUUACAUUUAAGUCAUUUAGCAGACGCUCUUAUCCAGAGCGACUUACAAAUUGGAUUAGCAGGCUCUAUUAUUUUAUUUGAUUUUAGUUACCUUUAUUCAUGUAGUUUACUCAUCUCUGUUUCUGUCACGACUUCUGCCGAAGUCAUUGCCUCUCCUUGUUCGGGCGGUGCUCGGCGUUCGACGUCACCGGUCUUCUAGCCAUCAUUGAUCCUUUUUUCAUUUUCCAUUGGUUUUGUCUUGUCUUCCCACACACCUGUUUUCAAUCCCAUUCAUUACCCUGUUGUGUAUUUAACCCUCUGUUUCCCCUCAUGUCUUUGUCAGAGAUUGUUUUAUUUGUCAGUGUAGUGUGAUUGUUGUAUAGGUGCGCGUCGGGUCCUCGUACCCAUGUUUGUGUGUUUAUGUACAUUUAGUGUUAUGGAGCAUACUCCGUGGACUUUAUUAAAAGACUCCAUUUUACACUC